AGAACGAACGCUGGCGGCAUGCCUAAUACAUGCAAGUCGAACGAACUCUUCGGAGUUAGUGGCGCACGGGUGCGUAACGCGUGGGAAUCUGCCCCUUGGUUCGGAAUAACAGUUGGAAACGACUGCUAAUACCGGAUGAUGACGAAAGUCCAAAGAUUUAUCGCCAAGGGAUGAGCCCGCGUAGGAUUAGCUAGUUGGUGAGGUAAAGGCUCACCAAGGCAACGAUCCUUAGCUGGUCUGAGAGGAUGAUCAGCCACACUGGGACUGAGUCACGGCCCAGACCUCCGUACGGGAGGCAG
rnacentral:rRNA from 1 species